GGACUCUUAGCUCAGCUGGUAGAGCAUCUCGUUUACACCGAGAGGGUCAUCGGUUCGAGUCCGGUAGGGUCCAC
rnacentral:tRNA from 1 species